rnacentral:rRNA from 1 species
GUGGGGAAUAUUGCACAAUGGGCGGAAGCCUGAUGCAGCGACGCCGCGUGGGGGAUGAAGGCCUUCGGGUUGUAAACUCCUUUCGACAGGGACGAAGCUUUUUGUGACGGUACCUGUAUAAGAAGCACCGGCUAACUACGUGCCAGCAGCCGCGGUAAUACGUAGGGUGCGAGCGUUGUCCGGAAUUACUGGGCGUAAAGAGCUCGUAGGUGGUUUGUCGCGUCGUCUGUGAAAUUCCGGGGCUUAACUCCGGGCGUGCAGGCGAUACGGGCUGACUUGAGUGCUGUAGGGGAGACUGGAAUUCCUGGUGUAGCGGUGAAAUGCGCAGAUAUCAGGAGGAACACCGAUGGCGAAGGCAGGUCUCUGGGCAGUUACUGACGCUGAGGAGCGAAAGCAUGGGUAGCGAACAGGAUUAGAAACCCGAGUAGUCC